rnacentral:rRNA from 1 species
UGGGGAAUAUUGCACAAUGGGGGAAACCCUGAUGCAGCAACGCCGCGUGAGUGAUGAAGGCCUUCGGGUUGUAAAGCUCUGUCUUCAGGGACGAUAAUGACGGUACCUGAGGAGGAAGCCACGGCUAACUACGUGCCAGCAGCCGCGGUAAUACGUAGGUGGCAAGCGUUGUCCGGAUUUACUGGGCGUAAAGGGAGCGUAGGCGGAUACUUAAGUGGGAUGUAAAAUACCUGGGCUUAACUUGGGUGCCGCAUUCCAAACUGGGUGUCUAGAGUGUUGGAGAGGACAGUGGAAUUCCUAGUGUAGCGGUGAAAUGCGUAGAGAUUAGGAAGAACACCAGUGGCGAAGGCGACUUUCUGGACAAUAACUGACGCUGAGGCUCGAAAGCGUGGGGAGCAAACA